AUGGUAUAUGGUCCCGGACAAACUAGCGAAACUAUACCCGGGAAGCUCAGGGGAAUGCUGGAGGAGUUGCGGAGAAAGGGGGACAAUGUACCACAUUUGGUGGACGUGCCCGAUAAUCACUCCCUACUGGGAGAUGGUGGAAGAGAUAAUCACUGACGUGAUAGGCCGCCCUUACAGCUUGGGGCCUGAACAGGGCAUACUAUUCAUGCAUCUUGCCCGAUGGCACAAGCAGGAAAGACAAUUGAUAUUCCAAGUGCUCAUAGCGGCAGUAACCCUGAUAGCCAGACAGUGGAAACAACCACAAGCACCCAGCAAACACGAUCUCCUAACACAAACAUCCACAAACUGGGAAUAUGAGGCUAUGGCAAAUAAAUACAUUACAAAUAACCACACGAUCAUAGACACAAAAAACAAAUGGGCAAAAUACAUUCAGAGAAGUUCACACCACUCCAGAACUCAGGACGCAUAGGUACGCUAAGACACGAGAGAUCGAGUAGAGAACCAAAGCUAGAGAGACGGGGAACGUCUGAGACUUGACCUGGGAGGAGGUCCUAACACAUAGAACCGAUGGUACAUUGGAGGUAGAAAGGUAGAACUAGCAACUAGGAAACAUAGGCCCUGAGGGAGGGCAAAGAG